UAAACUUCAUGGUGCUUCUUGUCCAGAUCUGAAAGGAGUGGCAAACUUCGAUGCUACAAAAUUUGUUGGUCUCUGGUAUGAGCAACAAAGAUAUCCAACCAUCCUAGAAAAGAACGGUAAAUGUGUUUUCACAAAAUAUUCAUUAAAUGACGACAAAUCAAUUGGAAUUAACACCACAUACCUUAAUGGAGAGU
rnacentral:lncRNA from 1 species